GCAAGUCGAGCGGGAUUAGAUUUUAGCUUGCUAGAAUUUAUGAGAGCGGCGAACGGGUGAGUAACACGUUGGUAUCUGCCCCCAAGUCAGGGAUAGCCAUUGGAAACGAUGAUUAAUACCGGAUAGUCUCUACGGAGUAAAAAUUUAUUGCUUGGGGAGGAGCCUGCGUUCUAUCAGCGAGUGGGUAAGGUAAAAGAAUACCAAGGCUAUGACGGAUACCUGGGCGGAGAGGAUGAUC
rnacentral:rRNA from 1 species